ensembl:lncRNA
GGGGAGCCGGGGGGGGCCGGGGAAGGGCCGGCCGGGGCACCUGCGGCUGCUGGGCCCGAGGGGAAGCGGGAGGCGGCAGCAGGGGGCGAGGCGCGGGCCGCGGGGCCGGCCGGAGCACGGCAGCCGGAGCCGGGCACGGAGCCGCUCGGGCAUGCAGGGGGGCUCGGAGCGGGGGCGCUGGGGGAGCAGGCCGCUGCAGAGACCGCCCCGAGCAGCCCCGGGCACGGGGGAGUGGCAGCGAGGGCGAGAGGAGCGGGAGGCGAGGGGCUGUGCCCGGGCACCCCGCCACAGCCGGCGGCGACAGGGACAGCGCGGGGCAGGCACGGGCGGCAGGAGCCGGGCAUGGAGCGGGAUGCAGGGCAAGCCGGGGACGAGCAGCCGAGUGCCCCUGAGAACACCAGAGAGGGCGAGGUGGCCGCUGUGUCGGCCAGUGCCGGGCCCGCUGCCGGAGCCGCGGAGCAGAGGAAGGACGGUCCCGUCGGAGGGAGCCCGAGUGUCCCGGCAGCCGCUGACGGGGGCGACAGGAGCCGCAGUUCCCGUCAGGAUAGUGCAAACCCAGACCCACUCAUCAUGUCCUCAGAAGAGGAUGGGGAAGAAACCCUGCUCUGAGCUUUUCCUGCAGCCUCUCGGUGUUGUGUCCUGCCACAUGCUCUCAGCUGGCCGCGGGUUUGUGCCGGCUGGGAUGUUGCUUCUCUCUCUCUUCACCCUGUGAGUAGCGCAGCCACCUGUCACGUUUCACUGGAGCAGCUCCUCAGCGUGCAGCAGACAACUGGAACAAGCUUGUGUCUGCCAGCCCGGGAAGCAGCACUCCUUUGGGAGGACGAGGACAGUAAUCACAAGGAUUGUUCCACAGCUGUCUGCCUUGUUUUUCUUGAAAACCAGAGAAAUACUGGGCUGACUGAACUUCCCCUCCUCCCCUAGGCGCCGCUUGCCCCUGCAGGCAGGCAGGGCUGUUAUCCCGGGAUCUUGCCCAUCCAUCCCAGGGCAGGGGAGCCCUCCUGCUUGCACAGUGCCCCCGUGCCAGGAGCGUGUGGGGGGCUUCCCUCCCCUUGGGCAUCCAGGCUUGCUGCUGGCCACACUCCAGGGCAUUCUCAGCACGUGGAAAUGUUGAAAUUUGUUAAAUCAGAACAAUUGCAACAGGUAUUUGUAAAUGCAUAAAGCCUGACCUUCUGCUUUUGUUGGAUUCACUCAGGAGGAGUCAGUGGAGCCUCAGCUAAGGCUGCCAGGAGGGUGGUGAGUUUAGAGUUGUCUCAGCCUGGCUGCCCUUCUCUGCUGCCCAAGGCUCUUCUCAGGUGUGCUGCACCUCUGGCAGCACUGGGGCCCCAGGACCCUUUUGGGCCAGGCAAAACCCCUUCGGGGCUGGGUGUGCAGCAGCCUGUAGGCACUCCAAGCCUGGUGGGUGCAGCAGACUCAGCCCCACAGAGUGGGGACUGUAACUGCCUUUACAAGGAGGGAAAAGACGCUGAAAUGAGCAGGAUUUUGAGCAGAUUGGUGCUGUGAGUCACUUCAGAUCAAUGUACAUGGAACUGGAAACUCAAACGUGAUCAAGUGGUUGCUGUGUGUUUGCUCCUAGAGACAUUCCUGUACUAGAGCUGGUUGCAUGUGUGUGUUUAGUCUGCACGUCUCAGAGGGUUGUGUUUUCUCUGUCCAUACCCAUGCCUAUGUGUUCACUCAGGCCUAUUAAAUACCUGUACCACUCUGUGCAGCUCCUU